GGGGCGUCUGCCGUUAAUUUCGUCACGGAGUGCUUGUUGGAAGCCCUUGGUACUGCUGUCGCAGCACCAUCAGCUGGACCGUGUUGACACAGUCCCAGGAUUUACAGUAGCGGCUCACCAUUCCCCCACAGGUCUUUAUGUUUUCCCGCUGAUGUCCCGGGCAGGCAUAAAACCCGACCUUUCUGAGAUAUGCCCGGGCCCAUGAGGUCUCAGUUAGCUGUUGGAGGUGAAAGUAUAGGUCAGGCCACCACUUAUCUUUCGGUUGGGUGGCUAUGGUCCGGUUUAGCUCUUCGUAGAUCUCUCCAUUUUUUAAGAUCCAGGUGACCUGAAAGGGCUGGUGGGGGUUUUGGUUGGUGUGUCCCCCUUUUUCCAGGACCCCCAGUUCCCCCAGAGUAACCCAGAGUAGAGAGCCCCGCAUCGUUCUGAGGUUGGGGUGAAAGGGGUGCGGCGGACAACCAGCCUCGGGGGUCCUGUAAGGAUGGAGCUGGUAACCAGGUCAGGGUGUCCCAAGGGAAUAGCACCCCAGGAGUAGGAAGCAGGUGACUAGGUAUGUGAGGGCCAGGGACAGUCGAAGAGAGAGGGACCAAUCGCGGGGGGCCGCGGCCGCUAAUCCAAUGGCAAAAAGUAUGGCCAGAGCUGUAAUUGUCAGCAGCCACAGCGGGUGAUGCCAGGCCAGCAUCAGAUCGAUUUGGACAGUGGUCUCUCAGUCAUUCAGGAAUCGGCGACAGAGGGGUUCGGGUAAUGAUCAGUUUGAUCAGCCCCGUGAGGGUGGAGCGGUAGGAGUGAUCGGGAGGAGGGGUCGGGGCCAGGGCCAGCCCUGUCUCUGGGAGACCCGGGGGAGCUCGUUUGAGUCGGGUCAGGUGGUACCAGGGCUCGUGUCCCAGGAGUUUGGCUGCUAUAGGAGUGGUGAGGAUUACAGUAUGGGGUCCUGUCCAGCGAGGCCGUAGUGGGUGGGGACUCAGGGUUUUUAGCAGUACCUGAUCUCCUGGGGCCAGAAGCUGAGUGGCCCCCUCGUCAUCUGUCGGUCUUGGCAGGACCCGGUCUGCGUGUUCCCUCAGCAAGGAUCGUAGGAGGGAGAAGAGGGGGAGGUACCCCGCGAGUGGGGGAGCCUCUCCCUCUGGGAGGUGAGUCAGGAGAUAGGGCCUUCCAUAGAGCAGUUCAAAAGGGGUCAGACCUGUUUUGGAGUGUUGUGUGGUGCGAAUGCGAGUGAGCGCCAGAGGAAGGAGGUCGACCCAAGACAGCCGCAGCUCUGAGGCAAGCUUGGUCAGAUGCGUCUUGAUGAUGCCGUUCAUCCGCUCUACCUUGCCUGACGAUUGGGGCCGAUAGGGGAUGUGGAGAUGCCAGCCGAUACCCAGGGCCGCAGCCACCUGCUGAGAGAUCUGCAAGAUAAAUGCAGGCCCGUUGUCAGACUGGAGAGAGUUUGGCAACCCAAAUCUGGGAAUGAGAUGAGCCGUCAAGACCUCCGGCACCGCCGCUGCCGUCUCCCGGGUGGUGGGGAAGGCCUCGACCCAUCCUGAAAAGGUGUCCAAGACCAGCAGACAGCGGUAGGUUCGAUGUCUGGGCAUGUGGGUGAAGUCUAUCUGCCAAUCCUGCCCGGGCAUAUGUCCCCUCAACUGGUGAGUCUCCUGUGGGGGUCGGAGUCCUCCCUGAGGAGAGGUGGAGGCGCAUGUUAGGCAGGAGCGGUGGACGGCAUAUAUGGUCUGUCUGAGAUGUUGGGGAGAGAAGACAGGGCUGAGGAAGGAAAAGAGAGCCCUUGGUCCGAUGUGGAGGGUAUUGUGGAUUUGGGAUAUUAUGGCCUUAGCCUGGUGCUCAGGAAGCACCGGUUUAUUAUGGAGUAGUGUCCAUCCCGACGGGUGCCUCUGAGCCCCUUCUUGCGCCGGCAAGGCUCUGGCUUCCUUGCUCGAAUAAUCUGGGUCGAGGGUGGAUCUCAAAGUCAGCAGGGGCUCGGGGGCUUGUUGUACGGUGAUUUGUCGAGCCACUUGAUCUGCCAUAUUAUUACCCAGAGCGACAAUGUCAUGAGUAUUUUGGUGUCCCUUGCAGUGUAUGAUAGCGACCUCUUUGGGCAGGGAUAUGGCAUCCAACAGUCGAGUAAUGUGGGGGGCAUUACAGAUGGGGGAUCCUUUAGUGGUCAGGAAUCCCUGUUCUUUCCAGAUUUCCACGUGAGAAUGGGCAGUCAAGAAGGCAUAUUUAGAGUCUGUGUAAAUAUUGGCUCUCUUUCCCUCUGCUAGGUGUAAGGCUGUAGUUAGGGCUGUUAGUUCAGCCUUCUGAGAAGUCGUCCCGGGUGGCAAGGGCUGAGCUUCUAGGACUUCCCGGGUGGUUACCACAGCAUAAGCCGCCCUUCGGUUUCCAUUGGGGUCUCGCUUUGAGCUCCCAUUGACGAACAAAGUUAGCUCUGGAUUUGGUAGAGGUUUGGAGAACAGGUUGUGGGGUGGUUGCACAAGGGACUCAAGGACCUCCGAGCAUGAGUGGGCUGGGGGUUCUGAGGAGAGAGGGAGUGAGGGUAGCGAGAAAAGCGGGUUUAAUUGUGGGGAGCGGCCCACGGAAACCUGAGGAUUGUCCAGAAAUACCGGUUGAAAUUGUUGGAGCCUGGACUCGCUGAGUUCAGAAAGAAAUCUAGAGGCUAAAAGGUCACCAAGAUGGUGAGGCGAGAAGAUGGUCAGGGGUUGGCCAUGAAUCAGCUUUUUAGCAUCGGCGUAUAACGUUGUCGCUGCCGCUAGUGCCUGCAGGCAGGGGAACCAUCCCCUGGCUGUGGGGUCAAGUUGUUUGGAUAUGUAAGCAAUAGGCAGCAAUUCGGGGCCAAUCGGUUGCACCAAGGUUCCAAAGGCUAUCCCUCCCUUUUCAUCAGUGUAUAGAUGGUGCGGAUAGUUGGGAUUUGGGAGAAAGAGAGGAGGUGCAGCCAAUAGGGUUGAGCGUAAAGCGUGGAAGGCCUGAGUCACUUCGGUGGGGGAAGACAGCGGCCCUGUGGGAGUCUCUUUAGCUGCCGCAUAUAGAGGUUUGGCCAGGGUAGCAUAAUUUGGGACCCAGUGUCGGAAGAAUCCCGUCAGUCCUAAGAAGGACAAUAUCUGGUCUCCGUCGGCCAGAGGGCAGAUGGACUGGAGGAGGCUACACCGGUCUGCUGUCAGGGCUUUAGUGGUCGGAGUGAUUUGGAGACCCAGAUAGACGACAGAAGUCUGAGUCAGUUGGGCUUUGGAUUGUGAGACCUCAGGAUUAACAAAAGGGGUUGGAAGGUCAACCAGUAGCGUUAGGAAGGCCCCUGACGUGGGAGCCGACCCUGGAGCUAGCUGAAGAGUGGCCUUGAGCUUAGCAAGUAUAUCUCUUCCCAAGACAGGAGUAGGGCAGGAGGGGAUGACCAAAAAGGAGUGGGUAGAUAGACAGGAAUCUAAUUGACAGGAUAGUGGCUGGGCUUGGAGCGGACACGAGGGUUGGCCGUCAGUGCCCAUAACCGAAACCUGGGAAGGACGUAGAGUGCCUCCGAAAGAGGGAAGGACCGAAUAAGUAGCCCUUGUAUCAACCAAAACAUCGAUGGACUUACCCGCUACCUGGAGUGUUACCCUGGGCUCGGCUUGGGUUAUUCGGGUCCCCGAGUCUGGGCGGUGUCAGUCACCGUCGAAGCUCAGCAGCUCCAAAGCCGGAGGAGGGCAGGAGGUCUCCCUGGGGCGCUCUGGUCCCCGGCCCCUAGAGGUCGGGGCCCGAGAGGCCUGGGGACAGUCACUAGCCCAGUGUCCUCAUCGUUUGCACAACGGGCACGGCUUGGAAGGAGGCCGCGAAUUGGGGCACAUCUUGGCCCAGUGCCCUUCUUGGCCACACUUGAAGCAGCCCCCCGGAGGGGGGUUUUGGGGCCCCUAGCCCGCCGCCGGCCGCAGGGCCGCUACCAAGGCCUGGGUUUGCUGGUUUGGGAGGCUUGCCUGAAAUUCGGCCUUUUGCUUGAGCCUUGCCUUUCGGCUGGCCUCAGCAGUUUCUUUGCGGGCAUUGUAGACCUUAAAAGCCAUUUUUACCAGGUCUGGGAUAGGGGUCUGAGGGCCGUCCUCGGCCUUGGCCAACUUUUUUCGGAUAUCGGGGGCAGACUGGGAGAUAAAACGAUUGGCCAAGGUGGCCGUCCCGAUGGGGGACUCAGGGGACAGCCUGGUGUAUUGGACGAGGGCCUCGGUCAGCCGAUUAAGGAACAUGGCUGGGUUUUUGUCGGGCCCCUGGGUCACCUCAUCUAGUUUGAGGACGUUUACAAACUUAUGAGAGGACGUUUCCAUCCCAUCGAGGAUACACUCUAUCAUAUAGCGUACUCGCAGCUGGCCGCCACCCCCUUCCUGGUAGUUCCUCCAGGGUCAGUGUCAGGAACCGCCUGGGCCCCCGGGGGGUGCUCGGGGAAGGGGUUGGCAUAGUGCCGCUGGUGGGCCUGAGCCUUGGCUGCCGUCCAGAUGGCCUGCCUGUCUUCGGGGGUGGUGGUAGACCCCAGGAUGACAUAUAUGUCCUGCCAUGUCAAGGCGUAGGCGCGGGUCAGACCAGUAAACUGCUUAAUGUACUGAGUGGGGUUGGAGGAGAAGGAACCCAGUUUGGCCUCAAUCUGUGCUAAGUCUUGGAGGGAGAAGGGGACAUGGACUUGGGCUAGACCCUCAGCUCCAGCUCCGGCUACUUGUCGAAGAGGGAG
ensembl:lncRNA